rnacentral:sRNA from 1 species
CGCCCAAGGUAUCUAGUCCAAAAUUGUUUAAUAGCUAGGUAUUCUGCACUGGAAAAACACACGCCUUGAACAAUACUUAAACAUACCGGUGUUGCUCUCCCCCCUUUUAAAUGCAGCAUCGGUGGCUAUGCGAAUAGCUAGUUUCAAGGAUUUAUCCUUUAUGUUUCACUCCUAAAAUGGUCUUGGCCCGGCAUUCCCCCCCAGAAAUGCCGG